AAACGUUAGUGGCGGACGGGUGAGGUAACGCGUGGGUAACCUGCCUCAUACAGGGGGAUAACAGUUAGAAAUGACUGCUAACACCGCAUAAUAUAGCGAAACCGCAUGAUUUUGCUAUCAAAUAUUUAUAGGUAUGGGAUGGGCCCGCGUCUGAUUAGCUAGUUGGUGGGUAAAAGCCUACCAAGGCGACGAUCAGUAGCCGGCUUGAGAGAGUGACCGGCCACAUUGGGACUGAGACACGGCCCAAACUCCUACGGGAGGCAGCAGUGGGGAAUAUUGGACAAUGGGGGAAACCCUGAUCCAGCGACGCCCGCGUGAGUGAAGAAGUAUUUCGGUAUGUAAAGCUCUAUCAGCAGGGAAGAUAAUGACAGUACCUGACUAAGAAGCCCCGGCUAACUACGUGCCAGCAGCUGC
rnacentral:rRNA from 1 species